UUAGAGUUUGAUCAUGGCUCAGGACGAACGCUGGCGGCGUGCUUAACACAUGCAAGUCGAGCGGUAAGGCCCUUUCGGGGGUACACGAGCGGCGAACGGGUGAGUAACACGUGAGCAAUCUGCCCUUCACUUUGGGAUAACUACCGGAAACGGUGGCUAAUACCGAAUAUGACCACUUCACGCAUGUGAUGGUGGUGGAAAGUUCCGGCGGUGAAGGAUGAGCUCGCGGCCUAUCAGCUUGUUGGUGGGGUAAUGGCCCACCAAGGCAACGACGGGUAGCCGGCCUGAGAGGGUGACCGGCCACACUGGGACUGAGACACGGCCCAGACUCCUACGGGAGGCAGCAGUGGGGAAUAUUGGACAAUGGGCGAAAGCCUGAUCCAGCAACGCCGCGUGAGGGAUGACGGCCUUCGGGUUGUAAACCUCUUUCAGUACCGACGAAGCGCAAGUGACGGUAGGUACAGAAGAAGCACCGGCCAACUACGUGCCAGCAGCCGCGGUAAUA
rnacentral:rRNA from 1 species